rnacentral:rRNA from 1 species
AUAUCAAUAAGCGGGGGAAAAGAAACCAACAGGGAUUGCCCCAGUAACGGCGAGUGAAGCGGCAAGAGCUCAAAUUUGAAAGCUGGCUCCUUCGGGGUCCGCAUUGUAAUUUGCAGAGGAUGCUUCGGGAGCGGUCCCCAUCUAAGUGCCCUGGAACGGGACGUCAUAGAGGGUGAGAAUCCCGUAUGGGAUGGGGUGUCCGCGCCCGUGUGAAGCUCCUUCGACGAGUCGAGUUGUUUGGGAAUGCAGCUCUAAAUGGGUGGUAAAUUUCAUCUAAAGCUAAAUAUUGGCCGGAGACCGAUAGCGCACAAGUAGAGUGAUCGAAAGAUGAAAAGCACUUUGAAAAGAGAGUUAAAAAGCAUGUGAAAUUGUUGAAAGGGAAGCGCUUGCGACCAGACUCGCUCGCGGGGUUCAGCCGGCAUUCGUGCCGGUGUACUUCCCCGCGGGCGGGCCAGCGUCGGUUUGGGUGGUCGGUCAAAGGCGCCGGGAAUGUAUCCACUCCUUCGGGGGUGGACUUAUAGCCCGGCGUGUCAUGCGGCCUCCCGGGACUGAGGAACGCGCUUCGGCGAGGAUGAUGGCGUAAUGGUUGUCAGCGA